rnacentral:misc_RNA from 1 species
GAACGCACAUUGCGCCCCAUGGUAUUCCGUGGGGCAUGCCUGUUCGAGCGUCAUUUACCCCCUCAAGCUCUGCUUGGUGUUGGGCGUCUGUCCCGCUUCGUGCGCGGACUCGCCCCAAAGGUAUUGGCAGCGGUCGUGCCAGCUUCUCGCGCAGCACAUUGCGCUUCUCGAGGCACCGGCGGGCCCGCGUCCAUCAAGCUCACCCCCCCAGUUUGACCUCGGAUCAGGUAGGGAUACCCGCUGAACUUA